AUCUGGUCAAAUCUCGCCAGAUUCUAAUCUUUUCCUCCAUUCUUACAGGUACACUAAUUCCCACCAAAGGGUAAUACAUUGCAUCAUUCUUAUCCUCAUCACACCUUUUGUUACCAUCACAGGUAUCACUCAAUACCCUCAAGGGGUCUUUCAAUACAGCAGUCACAUACUUAACGCAGUCAAAUUAUUCUCAUAGGUAAACACACCAUAAAACUGGUCCUCCGAGGCUCCUUUGAGCCAACCCUGUGCUCCAUCGCCA